UUCAAAUGGCUUGGCCUGUUCCGAACCGGUCUAGAACUGAAUUGGAUUAGCUCAAAGCCGGUGUGAUGUAAAUAGCUUUUAUAGGUAGGCUAGGGGUCAGGCAUUAUAGUCGGUAGCAACUUGGCGAAGAUUUUGUACGCAUCUUUAGCUUUCUUGGUAAUCGCUACAGAAAAUACAAAUGAACGAACACAAAUAUAUGUGGAAUCACGCAGGAACUGCGCUUUUAAUUUCGAUUUGGUCGGAUAGUUCGGUUCAAAAGCAACUUCGAGCUACUCUCAGAAAUCAGCUUAUAUGGGAUGGUGUUGGUGGGCCAUCCACAGAUCAACUGGGAUUGUUGGAGCAAAAAUACAGCAAUCAACAUUCCAAGGAAUUUAUUAAACAAGAAAU